CCUACGGGGGGCUGCAGUGGGGAAUAUUGGACAAUGGGGGCAACCCUGAUCCAGCCAUGCCGCGUGUGUGAAGAAGGCCCUCGGGUUGUAAAGCACUUUCAGUGAGGAAGAACGCCUGGUGGUUAAUACCCAUCAGGAAAGACAUCACUCACAGAAGAAGCACCGGCUAACUCCGUGCCAGCAGCCGCGGUAAUACGGAGGGUGCGAGCGUUAAUCGGAAUUACUGGGCGUAAAGCGCGCGUAGGUGGCUUGAUAAGCCGGUUGUGAAAGCCCCGGGCUCAACCUGGGAACGGCAUCCGGAACUGUCAAGCUAGAGUGCAGGAGAGGAAGGUAGAAUUCCCGGUGUAGCGGUGAAAUGCGUAGAGAUCGGGAGGAAUACCAGUGGCGAAGGCGGCCUUCUGGACUGACACUGACACUGAGGUGCGAAAGCGUGGGUAGCAAACAGGAUUAGAUACCCUUGAAGUC
rnacentral:rRNA from 1 species